UACACCAAAGAAAAUUCUGAAGUAAAGCUGUGUUUUAUGUUGCUAAUGUAUUGGAACUGAAACAAUAUCCUCCUGUGGGCAGGUUCAUAUCCUUCUGGAUGCAACACCCCAGGAGGGGUCUCACCCGGGCAGAGCAGAACAGAGCAGAGCAGAGCAGAACAGAGCAGAGCAGAGCAGAACAGAAGAGAAGCAGACUCCCCUCCCUCCACCUGCUGUUCACACUUCUUUUAACGCGGCCCAGGACACAAUUCUUCCCGGGCUGUGAAGUUUGGAUAGAAUGUAUGCAUGAAAAGUUUUCAUCCUCAAAGUGCAGGAACUAUUUAAAUAUAAUUGUUAUAUGCCGCUCAUAAAGACACUUUUCAUUUCUUGUCAAGCAUACAAACCACUAGAAAUAAGAACUCUCUCUUGAAAAUGUCAGGAGGAAAUAGAUAUUGUAAAAUCACAAUUUUACUUCUGAGGUAAGUUAAGGACAAAUAGUGUCUCUGUAGCUGAAAGAGUCCUUCCUCAGUAAUAUAUAAAUCUCUGUAGGAAUAAUGGAAAAGAGUCCAAGAUAGAAACAGUUUUUCCAAAAAUAUUCUUCAAACAUCAUUUUAUUGCACCAAGUGAGAGACCAUAAAGAUGUUUUUUAGAAGUCUAGAUGUUCUGCAACAGCUCUGAGAACAAUAGACAAAUCCCCCAGAUUUCACCUUUAACAAGCAGCAUUUUUUAUCAAACAGGUUAACUCCAAGGAAGUUGCUGUGUCUAAUAUUAGUGAGUAGAUCAAACUGAAACUCUUUUGAGGUAAAGGAAUUUUUUAGAAAUUGGUAAAUGCUACACCAGAAAUACAUUAUCUUAAAAAAAUAUAGAGGAUGUUAGGUGUUAAAGGAUGGAGAGAGAAAGCACAGUGAGAAGGCUGAUACAAAAAUAGUUUUAUUAACACCAUAAAGUAACA